GGUGGUGCAUGGUUGUCGUCAGCUCGUGUCGUGAGAUGUUGGGUUAAGUCCCGCAACGAGCGCAGCCCUUAAGCUUAGUUGCCAGCAUUCAGUUGGGCACUCUAAGGUGACUGCCGGUGACAAACCGGAGGAAGGUGGGGAUGACGUCAAAUCAUCAUGCCCCUUAUGACCUGGGCUACACACGUGCUACAAUGGACGGUACAAACGGUUGCCAACCCGCGAGGGGGAGCUAAUCCGAUAAAACCGUUCUCAGUUCGGAUUGUAGGCUGCAACUCGCCUACAUGAAGCCGGAAUCGCUAGUAAUCGUGGAUCAGCAUGCCACGGUGAAUACGUUCCCGGGUCUUGUACACACC
rnacentral:rRNA from 1 species